rnacentral:rRNA from 1 species
ACGAACGCUGGCGGCGUGCUUAACACAUGCAAGUCGAACGGAAAGGCCCUGCUUUUGUGGGGUGCUCGAGUGGCGAACGGGUGAGUAACACGUGAGUAACCUGCCCUUGACUUUGGGAUAACUUCAGUAAACUGGGGCUAAUACCGGAUAGGAGCUCCUGCUGCAUGGUGGGGGUUGGAAAGUUUCGGCGGUUGGGGAUGGACUCGCGGCUUAUCAGCUUGUUGGUGGGGUAGUGGCUUACCAAGGCUUUGACGGGUAGCCGGCCUGAGAGGGUGACCGGCCACAUUGGGACUGAGAUACGGCCCAGACUCCUACGGGAGGCAGCAGUGGGGAGUAUUGCACAAUGGGCGGAAGCCUGAUGCAGCAACGCCGCGUGCGGGAUGACGGCCUUCGGGUUGAAAACCGCUUUCGCCUGUGACGAAGCGUGAGUGACGGUAAUGGGUAAAGAAGCACCGGCUAACUACGUG